UCUAGCUUGCUAGAUGAUGUCGAGUGGCGGACGGGUGAGUAAUGCUUGGGAACUUGCCUUUGCGAGGGGGAUAACAGUUGGAAACGACUGCUAAUACCGCAUAAUGUCUACGGACCAAACGGGGCUUCGGCUCCGGCGCAAAGAGAGGCCCAAGUGAGAUUAGCUAGUUGGUGAGGUAAAGGCUCACCAAGGCAACGAUCUCUAGCUGUUCUGAGAGGAAGAUCAGCCACACUGGGACUGAGACACGGCCCAGACUCCUACGGGAGGCAGCAGUGGGGAAUAUUGCACAAUGGGGGAAACCCUGAUGCAGCCAUGCCGCGUGUGUGAAGAAGGCCUUCGGGUUGUAAAGCACUUUCAGUUGUGAGGAAAAGUUAGUAGUUAAUACCUGCUAGCCGUGACGUUAACAACAGAAGAAGCACCGGCUAACUCCGUGCCAGCAGCCGCGGUAAUACGGAGGGUGCGAGCGUUAAUCGGAAUUACUGGGCGUAAAGCGCACGCAGGCGGUUUGUUAAGCUAGAUGUGAAAGCCCCGGGCUCAACCUGGGACGGUCAUUUAGAACUGGCAGACUAGAGUCUUGGAGAGGGGAGUGGAAUUCCAGGUGUAGCGGUGAAAUGCGUAGAUAUCUGGAGGAACAUCAGU
rnacentral:rRNA from 1 species